CAAAAGCGUAUAUUAAAGUUGUUGCAGUUAAAACGCUCGUAGUCGGGUUUCGGGUCGGGCCGAGCGGUCUGCCGAUGGGUAUGCACUGUUUGGCGCGGCCUUCUUUCCGGAGACCGCGGCUACUCUUAACUGAGCGGGCGUGGGAGACGGAUCGUUUACUUUGAAAAAAUCAGAGUGUUUCAAGCAGGCAGCUCGCUCUUGCAUGGUACAGCAUGGGAUGAUUGAAUAGGACUCCGGUGCUAUUUUGUUGGUUUCGAACACCAGGAGUAAUGAUUAACAGGGACAGUCAGGGGCACUCGUAUUCCGUCGAGAGAGGUGAAAUUCUCAGACCAAUGGAAGACGAACCACUGCGAAAGCAUUUGCCAGGGAUGUUUUCACUGA
rnacentral:rRNA from 1 species